rnacentral:rRNA from 1 species
GUGUCAGCCGCCGCGGUAAGACGAACCGUGCGAACGUUGUUCGGAAUCACUGGGCUUAAAGGGCGCGUAGGCGGGUCCGCAAGUCUGCGGUGAAAGCCCCCAGCUCAACUGGGGAAGUGCCGUGGAUACUGCGGGUCUUGAGGAGGGUAGGGGCAUCUGGAACAUUGGGUGGAGCGGUGAAAUGCGUUGAUAUCCAAUGGAACUCCGGUGGCGAAGGCGAGGUGCUGGACCCUUUCUGACGCUGAGGCGCGAAAGCCAGGGGAGCAAACGGGAUUAGAUACCCCGGUAGUCC